AUGAGAUUUGGUUCUAUAAAAACAGCUUUAAUGCUGGAAAAUGAUCAAAUGUUACAAGCCACACAUGUUGUACAAACGGAUCAGAACCAGAGUGGAAACACUGAGCUCACCUGCUGGUCAGGACCAGAUGGAGGACAGGCGCUGAGUCACCUGCCUCUUCUUCAUGUCAACCUGCGAAACAAAAACACGAUAAUAAAACCUUCAUCACACAGCAGUGAGGGAGUGGUUCAUUAACGGCUGCUGAAGCAGAGACAGUCUUCCGGUUCUGGUUCUGGUUUGGCUUCCGGUUGCGCUCUGACGUCCUGCGGGGUUUCCCAGCCAGCAGCAGCAGGGUUCACAGCGCUGGGCUGAUUGGAGGCGUAACGGAUGGAAGAGACGAAGAAGAAAAGCUAACAUCAGAAAAACAUCCAGACCUUCAGGAGAAAACCGCUCAGCUUCCUGUUCCACACAUCUGCUGAUAAAAUCACAGUAAAAUAAUUAAAUAAAAGCUCAUAUAGCGUAAGGUGACCAGAUUUCUAAGAUUAAAUCUGGGACAUUCCUCACUCGGUGAUAAAGAAGAAGCAAAUUUAUCAAACUAAAAUGAAAAAACCGGGACAGAUAAGUUUACAUAUUCAUUAACAUUUAAACAUUAAAAAUCACAUAUAAAAGCAGGAACGUGUCUCUCCACACUGUGGUAAUAUUACUAUUAAUAAUAAUAAAAGUAACAGCAAUAGAAGAUUAAAACUGGAAGUUGUGUACAUAGUUUGUAAUAUACAUUAAUAACAUAGUUGGUUCCUCUGUUAAUGAACAAAAAGCCACAAUGGUAACAGAAGUAACUUGAAACUAACAAAAGUAGUAAAAAAUUGUUUACUGAUGAAAAUCAGACACUGAUUUUAAAUUAUGGCUCAAUUAAAAUGAUGGUAGUUAAAACUUAUUAGCAUGUUUGUGUCUGAUGUUCAUUUUGUCUCGUCUCUCCCAGAACCUGUGUGGUAAAUUCAGCCUCACUUUUUAUGAUUUGUUUUCCUCCUUGGUCAUUUCACAUCAAGUCCAGCUUGACCUUGGAGUUCACCUUUACUUUCUGGACUUUAGUAACCUUUCGUAUCAUAAUUUUCUUGAAUUUGUCCAUUUUCUUCCUGCAGCCGCAGCCAGAGACAUCGGCUCCAGUCCUGUGGACUUGAAGUUUCUGUAGUCAUCUUGGUCUGUCAUUUUCUUAUUGUGUUGAACCUCAAU